rnacentral:rRNA from 1 species
CCUACGGGACGCAGCAGUGGGGGAUAUUGCACAACGGAGGAAACUCUGAUGCAGCGACGCCGCGUGAGGGAAGACGGUCUUCGGAUUGUAAACCUCUGUCUUUGGGGAAGAAAAUGACGGUACCCAAAGAGGAAGCUCCGGCUAACUCCGUGCCAGCAGCCGCGGUAAUACGGAGGAUGCGAGCGUUAUCCGGAUUUAUUGGGUUUAAAGGGUGCGUAGGCGGACUGUUAAGUCAGCGGUAAAAGCCCGGGGCUCAACCCCGGCGAGCCGUUGAAACUGGCUGUCUUGAGAUGUCGAGAGGUAUG